GACGAACGCUGGCGGCGUGCUUAACACAUGCAAGUCGAACGGUAAGGCCCCUUCGGGGGUACACGAGUGGCGAACGGGUGAGUAACACGUGGGUGAUCUGCCCUGCACUUCGGGAUAAGCCUGGGAAACUGGGUCUAAUACCGGAUAGGACCACGCUCUGCAUGGAGUGUGGUGGAAAGCUUUUGCGGUGUGGGAUGGGCCCGCGGCCUAUCAGCUUGUUGGUGGGGUGAUGGCCUACCAAGGCGACGACGGGUAGCCGGCCUGAGAGGGUGUCCGGCCACACUGCGACUGAGAUACGGCCCAGACUCCUACGGGAGGCAGCAGUGGGGAAUAUUGCACAAUGGGCGCAAGCCUGAUGCAGCGACGCCGCGUGGGGGAUGACGGCCUUCGGGUUGUAAACCUCUUUCAGUACCGACGAAGCGGAAGUGACGGUAGGUACAGAAGAAGCACCGGCCAACUACGUG
rnacentral:rRNA from 1 species